UUAUGUAACUUAUGAAAAAACAAAUAACAUUUUAUCAAACAAAAAAAAUGUAGCUGAAUUACUAAAUCCGAUAUUUUUAAGCGUAAGUCUGAUAUCUUUUUUUCAAAAACAUUUUUCACAAGUCUAUUUUAGUGAUAUUGAUAUGCUCCCGAUAAGCCUUUAACAGUGGUAACGUAAUUGGUUGAAACCGAUAAAAAAAAGUAUGUGAUCGAGUACAAUGCAAUGUAGUGUGUGCUCUUGCUAUGCUUAGACUGUACUCGAUUGUGAUCCCAGCUACUAAAUCUGAAAAUAUACAGUCAAAAGGAAAC